rnacentral:rRNA from 1 species
GACGAACGCUGGCGGCGUGCUUAACACAUGCAAGUCGAACGGAAAGGCCCUGCUUUUGUGGGGUGCUCGAGUGGCGAACGGGUGAGUAACACGUGAGUAACCUGCCCUUGACUUUGGGAUAACUUCAGGAAACUGGGGCUAAUACCGGAUAGGAGCUCCUGCUGCAUGGUGGGGGUUGGAAAGUUUCGGCGGUUGGGGAUGGACGCGCGGCUUAUCAGCUUGUUGGUGGGGUAGUGGCUUACCAAGGCUUUGACGGGUAGCCGGCCUGAGAGGGUGACCGGCCACAUUGGGACUGGGAUACGGCCCAGACUCCUACGGGAGGCAGCAGUGGGGAAUAUUGCACAAUGGGCGGAAGCCUGAUGCAGCAACGCCGCGUGCGGGAUGACGGCCUUCGGGUUGUAAACCGCUUUCGCCUGUGACGAAGCGUGAGUGACGGUAAUGGGUAAAGAAGCACCGGCUAACUACGUG